rnacentral:lncRNA from 1 species
AACACUGCUCAUCCCUCCUAAACGGAUAGAGCAGGCGCUCCUAGAAAAUUCCCAGCCUUAUCCUGUGCAUGUGUUCAAAUCCCUGGAAACCUGUGCGUCUCCUCUGAUGCGCGUUCAGCUCCUCCUCUCAGCUCAUGCACGCCAACUUCCAGGCCUUUCACCACUGCCAAUCAAAUCUCUCGCUCGACGCUGGUCACACGCACGCCCAGCCGAGCUCCUGCUUCCCUCUCCCGCGGUGCCUGGCUUCCUCCAAGCUCGCCCCCAACCACAACCACGCCCUGGUCCGCGCUCCAGCCCUCCCCAUCCUCCUCUUGCUAUGGUGCCCAGCCGAGCUCUCUCCCCUUCCUGCCAUGGCCGACGCCCCUCCCUGCUGUAGCUCGAUGCCCUCUCCUGCAGCAAGCAGUGCCCUCCCCUUUCUGCAGCAAGUGGGUGCCCCCAGCCCCUCCUUUGUUCCCAUGGCCGGCCACCUCUGCUGCUUCCAUGGUGAUCUCUAAAUCCCUUUGUUGUUUUACUAGUUCUUGUUAAUACCCUGCUGAUGUGAGGUUUUAUGUGUGUUGAUGUGUGCGAUAUGGAGUAAAAUCCUUGGAGAAUUAGGUGGAGAAGAAGGUUAAGUUCAACACUCCUUAGGUGUUCGAUGAUAUGCUCGAACUGGUGGCCGUCUUCGUUCUUGCUGAAAUCGAGUCGGAGCAUGAUGUGGUGAGCCAAGUCGUUUCUCCGACUACUUAGCUAAUGAAUGAUUUGGUUAUAUAAUUAUUGCUGUAAUGGUAUUUGAUGUAUGAUGAAAUAAUUUAGUUGUGUGCCAUGAAUUUUUUUUGACGUCAUGAUUGGAUAGUAGAAGUGUUGUUUGAGGGGAAGUUUAGGUAUUAGGUGCAGAUUUUACGAGGAGUGCUUUAGAGAGUACAUAUGUCAAGUAUAAUUAAAUGAAUGUUAUAAAACACAGAGGAUGGUUCUGUUUAGGCAAGGAAUGCUUUGAUUGAUGCGUUGGUAAGCUGUGGUUAACCAAAAUGGGAACUAAAUUGAAUUUUUGCUGUUUGGACUGUGCACAGUUUUAGUAUGCAGGUAGCUAAGUGAAGUAAACUUUGUUUUCUGAAGAGAUGAUAUGCAUAUAAGUUGUAGCUAACUUCUUUAUCCUGGUUGUGUAAAAAAUUUUAUGACCAUAGGUUUAGUAGUUUAGGAGUUAUGAUUUUUCAAAGUCCAGUUUCAGAAUCUGCCCAGAUUCUGUACUGAUUUCGAAAAUGACCCUGUUUGCCCAAAUUAAACUUAGAAUCAGCUCUUAGCUCUUAGUAAUUAUAGGAGAAUUGUAGUACUUUUCUAAAGCUUUCCAACAAAUUUUGGAGCACUUUUUUUUGUGGUCUAGAGACCAAGUUACAGCUGUUUGAACUAUAUAGUCUGAAUCUGUCCAAAUCUGGACAGAGAAGUCUGUUUGUAUUAACUGACUUUGAUAUGUAUUGAAUUAACAUGAGAUGUUUAUAAAUGAAUUAUAGACAAUUCUACUAGCUUUCAAAAAAAGUCUAGGAUCACCUGAUUUGGAUAUCUGAAACUCCCGUUAUGGAAUUUUAAAGUGAGUGGCCGAAUUCUGUCCAAAUCUGGAUAGAAAUUGUGUUUAGUACAGUUUGACCUUUCUAAAGGUCGAAUCUUGUUAUGAUGAUAAUACAAAAGUUAUAUAGAACUUUAUAAGCUUUUCAGAAAGUCCUAGUUUACUAUUUUUGGAUGCAUAUUUUGUGAGUUACGAACAAAACAUUUGACUACUGUGCUGCUGUCUAGAAAAAAUCUGCGCGUGGUAAAUUGAUUGUUUGGGGUCAUUCUUGUUUGGCUUGAUAGAAUUAGUUAAAUUUUGAUUAUUGAAGACUGGUUGAAUAUAGUGGUGAUAGUAAUCCAUGCUAUGCUUUAGUAGUAUUAUAUUCUUUAUUAAUGACCGGUUAAAUACCUUAGAUAAAUAUUUAUUAGUGCAAUAUAAUUCAUCUUCAUGUGGGUAUAUAUAUUCCUUGUUGAAUUCGAAUGUAAACUAGAAUGGGUUACGACUUCUGGUAUAUCUCCGUAUUAUUUCUAAACCAGUAUAUUCAUAUAUUCAUCUUGUUAGAUAGUACACUCAGAUUUUAGACAAUAAUAUAUUAAUCUCUAAUGUACCAUUUAAGUUUAGAAGGCUAGCUGUAAUGCUUCUGUCCUUAUUCUAAGAUAGGUUCUAUCAGUAUUGUUAUACUUCUUUGAUUUAUUUGAACACGAUAAUGCUUUACUAGUAGUCUUUAUACUAAAUGUUUAGUGAACGAUUAGAUACCUUGAUUUGAUGUUGCUUGCUACCCUGAGUGUCUAAAAACGAGUAGUAUCAAUAAGCCGAUUAAAACUGAAACAUGAGAAUUUUGUGAUGGUUAGUGCACAUAAGUGCUUUAAAUCUUCAAAUUUGUUGAGCCUAUUGUUUUAUAGAAUACUAGGCUAUUGGACAAUAUUUUGGGUGUAGAGUUAGAGGUGUCUAGUGUUUAUGCAUACAAGUGUUUUAGGCCUUUAAGUUAAGAUAAUUUUUAUUCCAUGGAAUUCUAUGCUUGUUAAUAAUGAGUUGUUCAUUAAUACUAAGAGUCGUGUUAAUCCUUCGAUAGGAUACUCUAGUUCAUGAGAUUAAGAUUUAUGUGCAGCCUUUUGAGGCUUGAUGCUUGAGUUAAAGAAGCAAGAUUAUGGUGUUUAGCCAUUUAUCGAUGUCUAGCGUUUACUUAUGGGUGUUGUAUGCGCCUCACCAUUAAGUGUUUAGCUUUCUACUGUAGCAUUGUUUAUCUUGUGCUACCUGCUCAUAAUCAUUCAUGUGCAUUAUGCAUAUCAUUCAGGUUCGUUACACGUGAUGCGAAGGACAAGAGCCGAGUUGAUCCCAAAAUGAUGCUAGUGAACGAACCUAAGGAUGGAUGAUCUGAUAGAGUGCCAGAAUGGGAGAUGCUCACCAAGUGGUCGUCAAUUAACAACACUAACUUAGUGUUAUCCCAGGCAAGCCCCGGUGCAUUUGCCACCUCCUUGUUGUUUUUAAAACUUUUAUCACUUAUAUGCUGCAUUAGGUGAUAGGAGUUGAGUGAUGAAACAGUUGAUGCAUUACCAUUCCUUGGAAUUUGAUUAUCCUCCUUGAUACCUGUUUUACAAAAAGAACUAAUGAGGCGUAGCCCUGCCUAGAAAAUUAAAACUUGUUCCUUUUUAAAAGAAUAUUAUGUAACACUGGAUAUGGGUUUUAUGAAAAAGAAACUUGCAGUAAUGAAGGCAUCACUCGCGAUGAUGAAUUCAUUAUUCAAGUAUUGUACCUCUGUCAGGUACAUGGUUUGGGUGUUAAAUAAUAAGAUGAGACCAGACGUUGAGCAGGAAAGGUCGCCCGUCUGUGUCGCUUAAGGACCGUUCCGAUUGUUGGCCUGCUGAUCUAGGACCCUUUAACUGGCCACAUGCCUCAUCAUGGGUAAGCUUUGCCUCGGUCGGACCAAUACCAGAACAGCUCGCACGCACUGGGAGUGGAGCGAUGGCGAGAGUAGCUUGUACCCUCCGUGGCAGAGACUGGAAGGUGGGGUGCUGUACUCUCGGAAACAUGGCGGGCACCAUGGCGAGAGUAACGUGUACCAACCAGGCCAAUGGCUGGACGGUGGAGUACUGUGCUCUCGGGUCGCGUGAACCCGUUCUGGUCUUGAGAAACCUGUGGGCGAGUUGACAUAUGCAAGGGUUAAGUGCUACAUAUGUCGUGUGGUUGGAGAUCCUCAGCUGAGUAUUAAUCGAUUCGGAUCGCCGUUACUUCUCGGAUAUGAAGACUGGAUCACUGCCCUGCAUCGUAAAUAACAAGUGAAACUAAAGUUGAUAAAAGGAAGCUAGUGUAGGACAAGUGAAUGCUCUAGAUUAGGCAAAUCUAGAUUCAGGAAAAGUACUUAACUUGUGAAGUAAAAUUUUGGCAUAAGGAUCCACUACUAGUAAGCUUUUCUGCAAAAACGAGUCUUUGAAAUUUGAUGAGCUUUACCUUGAUUCCCAAUAAACCAGCAUACCCUUGAGAGUCUUUUCUUUAGUCGGGUAAGUCUUGCUGAGUAAUUGCGUACUCAGGGUUUUAUUCCCUGUUGUUUUUCAGGUUAUAAUUUUGUUCUGUUAUGGAUGCUGCUAAGUGCCGGUAGGCUCGGCCUUCUUAUAUAAGUAUAUCCCAUCUUUAGCUUCUUUAUUGAGGAUUGUCACUUAAGCUAGCAUGUAUUUGAAAACCUAUAAAUAUUUUAUACAUUUUAAAUUGUAAUUUUUUUGAAUCACUUUCUUUUGUAAUCACUCCGAUGAUAUAUAUUGUAAUCUUGUUAUAACUUGUAAAUGUUGUAACUUGUAACCAUUUUGUAAUAAAGAAUUUCCGCUGCAAAUGUUGGUGUGUGAUUUGUGUUUACUUAAUCCUGCGAUCUUGGUGGUAAGUCGUUUAUCCGGGGUCCUCGGGGCAAUCGGACAGAUCCUGUUAAGUUGUUUGGUGCACACACAUAGCUGUCUGAGGUCUUUGAGACAAGGACAGGUGCAUGUGGGCCCGAUAACUUGGGAGGUUCUGCGACAAUAUCUUCCCCUCAUAUUAUCAAGAUGACCCUGUUUAAUAGUUGAUUUUCUGAAAACUGUAUGGCUUGGUCGCCAGGGUCGAUCUUCGGAGUCUUCUCCACCACUUUCCACAUCAUAACUGUCGCUAUCACCAGUAUCUUCAGACAAGCCUUCCAAAAUCUCCCUGGUAAUCUUCUCUGUAUUUGUCUUUGCCAUUAAUUCAAGGAAGCCGAGAUUCAUUUCCUCAGAAAGGCUCAGCUUUGUUUCAGCGACAGCUUUCUUAUCUUCAGACAUCUUGAAAAAUGCUGAGAAAGUGCCCUCAAAACCGAAGCUUAAAAAAAUUUCAAAAAAGCCAAGCAAGUGUUGGUGCGCAAGAGUUAAAAGUUGGGUGAGUAAGAACAGAUGGCAAGAAAGCAUGCCAAAUGAACCCGUGGUGAGCUCUUAUUUAUACGCCUAGUGCGUUGAAAAUUGGAGGGUCCCGCUUGUCAAUGACUGUUGCUAUUCUAGCAAAGGGAAGGUGUUUUUUCGGACCUUCGGCUUAAGGCCUUCGUCCAUGUCGCAAUCUGAAUUUAUCACUCUAACAAAUUAAUAUUGCGAGGGGCUACUGUUGGGGGCCUUCAACUUCUGAAGGUCCUCAAAAACAUAAUUUGACAAUGUUUUCCAAGUGAAAUAUGUGAACAGGUAUCUUCAGAUUCGGAUCAUGAGCAUACAGAGCAUGGUCAGGACGAAGCCUGAGCGAGACGAAAGGUGAUUAUGACGAAGGACAAGGUAAUCACGAAGCUGUGCGCAGGAAAAGCUUCGACAUGGCAGCAGAAAAGGGGAACCGACUUAAAGAUGAAAAGGCAAAUUAGACCUCGAAGAAUUACUAUAGAGUUAUUAGCAAAUGUAAAGGGCAUGGGUGUAAUUUUACAUGGGCUGCAUCCCGUGCCUAUAAAUAGGUGAACAGUAUCCUCGUACUGUUCACGCUGAUUUGGCAUUCGCUUUUUGCAUCACGCUUGUACCCUUGCUUUCCUUCAAACCGAAGGUACAUUUAUAAUUUGUUAUUGUCGAUAUGAUAAUGCAAAUAAAAAAUAAGUUGAUAAUAAUGUUUAAGUGUUUAUGUUAUUUUUCAUAUCUUGCAUAUGAAUUCUUCCUCAUCAUUUAUUGUGCUUACGAAGGUUUUUCCUUCACAACCUUCGUUCAGAAUUCAUUAUAUCCGAAGGGAAAUAAUGUCUCGAAGGACGAAGGACUUUAACAUUUAACACUUUUUAUGUUGCCUUGUUCUUUACUCUUAGCAUUUGAGAACAAGUCCCCAACAACAGGGGAUUGAGAAGUAAUCAAAUCCAAGGAAGGACAUGCAGCAAUGGGUUUAGCACACAACUCCUAUCACCUAAUGCAUCAAGCAAGUGAGAAAGAUUUCAAAAUAACAAGGAGGUGGCAAAUGCACCGGAGCUUGCCUUGUGUGAUAGGUGAAUCAGGCUCUGCUCCACAGAUAUCAAAGUAAAAG